rnacentral:rRNA from 1 species
AUUGAACGCUGGCGGCAGGCCUAACACAUGCAAGUCGAACGAGUGGCGGACGGGUGAGUAAUGUCUGGGAAACUGCCCGAUGGAGGGGGAUAACUACUGGAAACGGUAGCUAAUACCGCAUACCAUCGGAUGUGCCCAGGUGGGAUUAGCUAGUAGGUGGGGUAACGGCUCACCUAGGCGACGAUCCCUAGCUGGUCUGAGAGGAUGACCUGCCACACUGGAACUGAGACACGUUCCAGACUCCUACGGUAGGCAGCAGUGUGGAAGAUUGCCCAAUGGGCGCAAGCCUGAUGCCGCCAUGCCGCGUGUAUGAAGAAGGCCUUCGGGUUGUAAAGUACUUUCAGCGAGGAGGCGUUACUCGCAGAAGAAGCACCGGCUAACUCCGUGCCAGCAGCCGCGGUAAUUC